GAUGAACGCUGGCGGCGUGCCUAAUACAUGCAAGUCGAGCGAAAGGACGAUAAGCUUGCUUCUCUGAUGUUAGCGGAGGACGGGUGUGUAACACGUGGAUAACCUACCUAUCAGACUGGGAUAACUUCGGGAAACCGGCGCUAAUACCGGAUGAUCUUUUGAACCGCAUGGUUCAAAAGUGAAAGACGGUCUUGCUGUCACUUAUAGAUGGAUCCGCGCUGCAUUAGCUAGUUGGUAAGGUAACGGCUUACCAAGGCAACGAUGCGUAGCCGACCUGAGAGGGGGAUCGCCCACACGGGAGCUGAGACAGGGUCCAGACUCCUACGGUAGGGAGCAGUCGGGAACCUUCCGCAAUAGGCGAAAGCCUUACGGAGCAACGCCGCGCGAGUGAUGACGGUCUCGGGAUCGUAAAACCCUGUUAUGAGGUAUGAACAGAUGUGUAAGUAACUGUGCAGAUCGUGACGGUACCUAAUCAGAAAGCCACGGCUAACUACGUG
rnacentral:rRNA from 1 species